UGACCUAGCUUGCUAGGUUGAUGGCGAGUGGCGAACGGGUGAGUAAUGCAUCGGAACGUGCCUUUUAGUGGGGGAUAACGUAGCGAAAGUUACGCUAAUACCGCAUAUUCUCUGAGGAGGAAAGCAGGGGGCCUUCGGGCCUUGCGCUAGAAGAGCGGCCGAUGUCGGAUUAGCUAGUUGGUGAGGUAAAGGCUCACCAAGGCAACGAUCCGUAGCGGGUCUGAGAGGAUGAUCCGCCACACUGGGACUGAGACACGGCCCAGACUCCUACGGGAGGCAGCAGUGGGGAAUUUUGGACAAUGGGCGCAAGCCUGAUCCAGCCAUGCCGCGUGAGUGAAGAAGGCCUUCGGGUUGUAAAGCUCUUUCGGCUGGGAAGAAAUCGCAUGGGCUAAUACCCUGUGUGGAUGACGGUACCAGCAUAAGAAGCACCGGCUAACUACGUGCCAGCAGCCGCGGUAAUACGUAGGGUGCGAGCGUUAUUCGGAAUUACUGGGCGUAAAGCGUGCGCAGGCGGUUGUGUAAGACAGACGUGAAAUCCCCGGGCUCAACCUGGGAACUGCGUUUGUGACUGCACGGCUAGAGUACGGCAGAGGGGGGUGGAAUUCCACGUGUAGCAGUGAAAUGCGUAGAGAUGUGGAGGAACACCGAUGGCGAAGGCAGCCCCCUGGGCCAGUACUGACGCUCAUCC
rnacentral:rRNA from 1 species